rnacentral:rRNA from 1 species
AGUGAACGCUGGCGGUAGGCCUAACACAUGCAAGUCGAACGGCAGCACAGUAAGAGCUUGCUCUUACGGGUGGCGAGUGGCGGACGGGUGAGGAAUACAUCGGAAUCUACUUUUUCGUGGGGGAUAGCGUAGGGAAACUUACGCUAAUACCGCAUACGACCUACGGGUGAAAGCAGGGGAUCUUCGGACCUUGCGCGAUUGAAUGAGCCGAUGUCGGAUUAGCUAGUUGGCGGGGUAAAGGCCCACCAAGGCGACGAUCCGUAGCUGGUCUGAGAGGAUGAUCAGCCACACUGGAACUGAGACACGGUCCAGACUCCUACGGGAGGCAGCAGUGGGGAAUAUUGGACAAUGGGCGCAAGCCUGAUCCAGCCAUACCGCGUGGGUGAAGAAGGCCUUCGGGUUGUAAAGCCCUUUUGUUGGGAAAGAAAAGCAGCAGGUUAAUACCCCGCUGUUCUGACGGUACCCAAACAAUAAGCACCGGCUAACUUCGUG